UUAUACGGACGUUAUAUUACUAAUUAAAUACUAGUGCUACUAAGUUAUCUACCACUAUCUGAGCCACUACUUCUGCAGAUACUACCAGAAUAGCCACGUAUCACACUGUGUUGAAUAUUUUCUCUUGUAUUCAAAAGCGAAAGUGGGGCAGUAAUGUAAGUUGGGGUUUCCAGUGAAAGGGAGGGGGGGGAAACGGCUGUGCGACACACCGACUCUGCUCAUUCGCUGUUGGACUACUGCACAUUACAGCGACCACACAACAUCAACUUCAAAACAUAUCGGAAAUACGGAGGAGGGGGGGUAUUGUCGGGAAUAUCUACGGCUAAAAGCAACUUCACAAGCCAAGGGAUAAAAAGCAGCCCUGUCUGAGCUGUGUUGGAGUGAAGGUCCAGUUUGUGUCCAUCCAGUGAGCUGAGUGGCUGC
rnacentral:lncRNA from 1 species